rnacentral:rRNA from 1 species
CCUACGGGUGGCAGCAGUGAGGAAUAUUGGUCAAUGGCCGGAAGGCUGAACCAGCCAUGCCGCGUGAAGGUCAGUGCCCUAUGGGCGUUAAACUUCUUUUGUGCGGGAGCAAUAAUGGUCACGUGUGGCCAGACGAGAGUACCGUACGAAUAAGCAUCGGCUAACUCCGUGCCAGCAGCCGCGGUAAUACGGGGGAUGCAAGCGUUAUCCGGAUUUAUUGGGUUUAAAGGGUGCGUAGGCUGUGAGGUAAGUCAGCGGUGAAAUGCCCCCGCUCAACGGGGUGAAGUGCCAUUGAUACUGCCUGGCUGGAAGGCGGAUGCCGUGGGAGGAAUGUGUGGUGUAGCGGUGAAAUGCAUAGAUAUCACACAGAACACCGAUUGCGAAGGCAUCUCACGAAUCCGCGAUUGACGCUGAUGCACGAAAGCGGGGGUAUCAAACAGGAUUAGAUACCCCAGUAGUC